rnacentral:misc_RNA from 1 species
AAGUCGUAACAAGGUAUCCGUAGGUGAACCUGCGGAUGGAUCAUUAGUGAAUUGAAGGCGAGCGCGUUAGCGCGAGUCUUUCAACCCACCCUUGUGCAACGUAACGUACUCUGGGGACUUCUCAGGAGGUCCCCGAGGGGUCUAGGGCGACCUUUAAAAGUCGCUUGAAGCUCAACCAACAAACACACUUUGAACCAAAGACUGAAUUCGAAAGAAAUUUCUAAUGUGAAACAACUUUUGACAACGGAUCUCUUGGCUCUC